rnacentral:lncRNA from 1 species
AAACAAACAAGCAAAUGAUGGUGGAAACUAUUUUCAAAACUUCCCUGUUCUGGUAAAGACGUUUUCAGAGCUCAAACUAGUCCUGCUGAAAAUAUUUUUUAAAAUAUGAAAGCAUAGCGGAAAAUUUGUAUGAAAAAGAAAAAAGAAAAAGAAGGAGGAGGAAGAAGAAGAAGAAAGAAGAAAAAGGAGAGGAAGAAGAAGAAGGAGGAGGAGGAGAAGAAGAGGAGGAGGAGGAGGAGGAAAUGGCAGAGACAAUGUAUGUCCCAGAAAGCCUAAAAUGUGUACUGUUUGUCCGUUUAUAGAAAAAGUGUGCCAGUCCCUACUCUGUUCCCAAUUUUAAAAACAAAUAAAUAAAAAGAAAAACAAGCAAGUCUCUCAGCCAAGAAAGAAUCGAUGGGAACUUUUUCAACUUUAUAAAGUGGAUCUACAAAAAACUACAACUAACACUAACGUCACACCUAAUGGUGAAAGUCUGAAUGUUUUCCCUCUAAGACUAGGAAAAGGUGGCAUGGAUGUCCACUCUCCCUACUCUAUUCAGCAUUGUAUCAAAAGUUCUUAUCAGUGAAAUAAGACAAGAAAAC